rnacentral:lncRNA from 1 species
GAUUGUCUUGUUUCUUUUUUAGGUAAAAACAUAUAUAAUUUAUCUAAACCAUGGACCAUUUUAAAACGGCUAUCCAACCUGUUAAUAUUUUAAUUUUAUUUUCUAAUCUUUUAAUUUGUUUGAUUUGAAUUGGUUAAUAGUACUUUAAUUUAAAAUAUAAGCUAAUUAUCUGCUCAAUAAAUUUAUAAGUACGAGAAAUAUUAACUAAACCUAUAAAGAUAAACUAUAUAUUGAAAUUUUGAAGUUAAAGGGUCAUUGACUGACUCAAAUCAAAUAAAUUAAAAAGUUAAAUAGUAAAAUUAAAAUUUUGAAAGGUUAUGUACUCGUUUCAAAAUAAUUUAUAGUUCAGGUAAGUUUCGUAUAUUUUUACUUUUUUUUUUAUAUAGAUGGAUAUAUUUUUAAUUUUUUUUUGGAGUUGAAUUAAUAUU